AUUGGUAUGCCAUGGCACACUGGUGUGCCAUGAGAUGAUGCUAAGUGUGCCACAGUGUAACCUGAAUAUAAUUUAUUUUCCCAUACUUUUAGUUAUAUUUUUAGUUCAGGUAUGCUGCUGAAUUUUGAAACGAAUAUAAGUGUACCACAAGUGAAAAGAGGUUUAAUUUCUAAAUAAA